rnacentral:rRNA from 1 species
UAAGGAAUAUUGGUCAAUGGACGCAAGUCUGAACCAGCCAUGCCGCGUGGAGGAUGAAGGUCCUCUGGAUUGUAAACUUCUUUUAUCUGGGAAGAAAUCUACCUCUUCUUGGGUAGUUGACGGUACCAGAUGAAUAAGCACCGGCUAACUCCGUGCCAGCAGCCGCGGUAAUACGGAGGGUGCAAGCGUUAUCCGGAUUCACUGGGUUUAAAGGGUGCGUAGGUGGGCAAGUAAGUCAGUGGUGAAAUCUCCGGGCUUAACCCGGAAACUGCCAUUGAUACUAUUUGUCUUGAAUACUGUGGAGGUCAGCGGAAUAUGUCAUGUAGCGGUGAAAUGCUUAGAUAUGACAUAGAACACCAAUUGCGUAGGCAGCUGGCUACACAAAUAUUGACACUGAGGCACGAAAGCGUGGGGAUCAAACAGGAUUAGAUACCCUGGUAGUCCACGCCCUAAACUAUGGAUACUCGACAUUUGCGAUAAACUGCAAGUGUCUGAGCGAAAGCAUUAAGUAUCCCACCUGGGAAGUACGACCGCAAGGUUGC